GGUGUCCCAGCUGAGAGACUGCUACAUCGCUGGCUGGGGCCAGACCACCGCACGAACCCACGGAUCCGACGUGCUGCAGGAGGCCAAGGUGCGCCUCAUCGAUGGCAGGCUGUGUAACAGCUACGAGUAUUACAGGGGGAAACUGCACAGCUACAACCUGUGUGCCGGCUACGCGCAGGGCGGCAUCGACGCCUGCCAGGGUGACAGCGGGGGCCCGCUGGUCUGCAGAGCUGCGGGCGCCAACUUCUUCUGGCUCGUGGGCGUGACCAGCUGGG